CCCUCAGCCUCUCUUCGAGAUUUCAAUUGACCCUCAGCCUCUCUUCGACUCACUCCCUCUGUCCCUCAGUUUCAGUCGCCACCGAUCCACCGCAAAGUUCGACGGUUCAGCCUUAUCUCUAAGCUCUAACCUCUCAGUCAGUCAUCUCACUCCCUCAGCCUCUCAGUCUCAGUCUUCCUAUUCAUAAUCUCGAACCGCUGAACCGCCGACCCACCGUGUCGCCGCCGACCCACGGCUUUGCUUCGACCCACUUGAGAAGAUUGGUCUGCGAGGAUGAUCUACCAUCAAUUUUAGUCUGCAAAAGUGCAAGUUCGAUAGCAUCAAUUUUGGGGUUUCUAAGCUCACAAGCUAAAAUGGGAUUUUACUCUUAACAUGGCCACUGAUGAUUCGACAAUGGAGAAAGAAAUUGUUCCAGCUUCUGAAAAAGAUGGAAAAGAAGAAGAAUAGCCUCCAACUUCAUCGAAUAUCAAGAGAAAGAGGGCAGAGAAGGAAAAAAUGAAGCCACUGAAGCCAAGUUCAAGGAGUUGGGUCUGGGAACACUUCGAAAAAAUUGAGAAGCCGAUUUACAAUACCGUUGAUGGAAAGCAGGGAACAUGCCUUCUGUCCAAGCUCAUUGAACUCACUACUGGAAAAUAUUGAAAUGAAGCUGUUGGAAAUUAGAAUGCAGUUGCACUAAGUGAAAGAGCUGCAGCUUGGAAUUUAGUGGAUCUGUCCAUUUGCAGUUUUAAUCCAUUGAUGUUAUGUUUACUUUAUCAUUCUACAAUGUUUGGAACUUGAUUUUAAAUUUAUUUCGGAGUUGGGACUGUUUGAUUAUGAAUUGUUUAUUUGGAACUUGGAAGAUUUGAUUGUUUGAAGAAUUGAAUCUGGAAUUUGUUCUGUUGGAAUGUGGAUCUUGUUCAGUUGGACUUUGAACUGUUGGAAUGUGCAAAACUGGAAGUCUGGAACAUGUUUUGUUGUUCAUUUGGUUUCAUUUUAAUGAUUUUAUCACUGAGC